rnacentral:rRNA from 1 species
UGGAUCCAGACUUUGAUUCUGGCUCAGGAUGAACGCUAGCUACAGGCUUAACACAUGCAAGUCGAGGGGAAACGACAUCGAAAGCUUGCUUUUGAUGGGCGUCGACCGGCGCACGGGUGAGUAACGCGUAUCCAACCUGCCCACCACUUGGGGAUAACCUUGCGAAAGUAAGACUAAUACCCAAUGACGUCUCUAGAAGACAUCUGAAAGAGAUUAAAGAUUUAUCGGUGAUGGAUGGGGAUGCGUCUGAUUAGCUUGUUGGCGGGGUAACGGCCCACCAAGGCUACGAUCAGUAGGGGUUCUGAGAGGAAGGUCCCCCACAUUGGAACUGAGACACGGUCCAAACUCCUACGGGAGGCAGCAGUGAGGAAUAUUGGUCAAUGGACGAGAGUCUGAACCAGCCAAGUAGCGUGCAGGAUGACGGCCCUAUGGGUUGUAAACUGCUUUUAUAAGGGAAUAAAGUGAGUCUCGUGAGACUUUUUGCAUGUACCUUAUGAAUAAGGACCGGCUAAUUCCGUGCCAGCAGCCGCGGUAAUACGGAAGGUCCGGGCGUUAUCCGGAUUUAUUGGGUUUAAAGGGAGCGUAGGCCGGAGAUUAAGCGUGUUGUGAAAUGUAGAUGCUCAACAUCUGCACUGCAGCGCGAACUGGUUUCCUUGAGUACGCACAAAGUGGGCGGAAUUCGUGGUGUAGCGGUGAAAUGCUUAGAUAUCACGAAGAACUCCGAUUGCGAAGGCAGCUCACUGGAGCGCAACUGACGCUGAAGCUCGAAAGUGCGGGUAUCGAACAGGAUUAGAUACCCUGGUAGUCCGCACGGUAAACGAUGGAUGCCCGCUGUUGGUCUGAAUAGGUCAGCGGC